ensembl:lncRNA
AUGAAUUACAUAAGCUCUGACACAAAGGGUGAAUAUGAAGCUUUAAUUAAUGGAUCCGACAUUGAUGAUAAAAAAUGUAUAAAUAACAAUGAUGAGAAUUGUAAUAGUAUAACGGGAAAACAAACAAGUAAUAAUGAUAACGUUGGUAAUAUAAAUGAUAUGGAUAAAAAUGAAAAUUUAAAUAUAGUUGGCUCCCCAUUAACAUAUGUUGCUGAUAACGAUGGCGAGUAUAUGGAGAAUAUAAAUUAUGAAAAUAUAGAAAAUAUGAGAAGGGUAGAAACAGAUAUAAAGUAUUAUAAGUUCUUUAUUAUAUAUAUUUUAAGUUUAUUUGUUAUUGUUUUAUAUUAUUUUUACUAUGGCAAUUAUUAUCGUAUAUUAUAUGGUAUUAAUUAUAAUGGAAAAAUUUGUGGGAAGGACUUAAAAAAAUAUCCAUAUUUAUAUUUUCCGUUAUCACCUAAAAAUACAAAACACGAAAUAUUAAAUGAUUAUAUUAAAUGUUUAGAAUCUUGUCCAACAACCACUGAGUACGAUGAAAAAGCAACUGAAGAAGAACGUGAUUUACAUAAAAGUGAUGAAAAUAAUACAACAAUAGACAUGAAACCCAUAAGUGAUGAAGAGAAUAAUAAAAAAAAUAAAAAAGAAGGUUUUUUUAAAUCCUUAUUUCAUUUUAAUAAAAACAAAAAAAAUGUCAUAUUAGAUAAGCAUGGAAAUGAAACAACAAAUGUAGUAUAUAGUGAUUAUACAAAAAAUAAAAAUAAUAAUUUAUAUGUAGAAUAUUCUUUAAAUUCACCUUUUUAUGACACGAUUAAUAUUAUGAAUAUAUGUUAUCCAAAAGAUAAAACAUUAAGACAUCAGGUUAUUAAUACAAUAUUUACAAAUAGAUAUAAAACUAUUGUUAAUUUAUUUUCAUUUCAUAAUUCGUUCUUUUUAAUAUUAGUAUUUGUUUUCCUUAUUAUUAUAUUAUCUUUUAUCUAUUUAUUUUUCUUAUAUUUCUUCUCUGUUGGGACAUUCUAUUUUUUUUUCGUCUGCUAUUUUCUUUCCAUAUUAUUAAUACCUUUAUAUUUUAUUCAUAAGCACUUAUAUUUAAUAUUUAACCCAAUUAAGGGAUCUCUCUUUUCAUAUCAUUAUGCUAUAUCCAUUUUAAUAUGUUUCAUAAUAUUAGCACAUGGUAUUAUAUCACUAUUUAUAUUAUAUAUAUACAAAAAUACAUAUAAAUAUACAUGUAGAUUAAUAUCACUUAUUUUAAAUUUUGUAAAUGAUAUGUCUAAUGUAUUAUAUGCGCCAUUGACAAUUACAAUUGCAUCCUUUGUGUGGUUUUCUAUUUGGGUAUAUGCGUAUAUUCACAUAAUGACGGCUGGAGUGGUGGAAGAAAAAAGGCUAACAUUUGAUAUGGACACGAAUGGAAAUAGUCAAGUAGUGUCACUCCAGAAGGUUUUUCACUAUUUUAAAAGUUCCUAUUUAUUUUCUUUCCUUUGGAUAUGUGUUUAUUUCUUUGUUUGUGAGAUUCUCCAAUCACUAAACCAAUUUUCCAUAAGUUAUUUAGGAACCGUGUGGUAUUUCUCUGAUAAAAAUAAAUUAAAUUACAACCUAAGUACCGGAAUGGCAAUGAAAACAAUACUUAAUUAUCACAUGGGGAGUUUGGUUUUAUCAAGUUUUAUCACAUUAUGUACUAAACAUUUACGUAUUUUAUUUUUUUGGACUAAUAGCACUUUAUCUCUUCCCUUUUUUUUUAAUGACAUUAUUUAUAAUGUGAAAAAAAAAUUUCGUAAGAAAAAACAAAACAAAACAAAAUAUAUUUUUAUUUCUUAUACGUUAUUAUAUGUGUAUUUAUUUUGUUUAGGCACAAAUAUACUAGUGACCAUAUAUGUGUACCCAUUUAAAUGUUGUAUGCAUAAUAAUAUAUACAUAUAUAUAUAUAUAUAUAUUUAUAUAUUGCAUUUUUCGUUUAUUCAAUGCAGAUUUUAUUUUGGCCCCCAUAUCUAAACUUAUUGAUAUGUACACGACAUCUUCUUAUUGUGAAAUGUCUAUGACUUCAUAUCCUUAUAUAUUUUCGUGUCACACUUCAUCAAAAAGGUUAUUAAAUUCUACAUCACCGGCCGCUUCUAUGCAUGGAGUAAGAAAUAAAAUAAAAUAAAAAAAAAAUUAAAUAAAUAAA